UACGGGGGGGGCAAGCGUUGUUCGGAAUUACUGGGCGUAAAGGGUUCGUAGGUGGCUCGCUAAGUCAGACGUGAAAUCCCUCGGCUCAACCGGGGAACUGCGUCUGAGACUGGAGAGCUUGAGUGCAGGAGAGGAACGCGGAAUUCCAGGUGUAGCGGUGAAAUGCGUAGAUAUCUGGAGGAACACCGGUGGCGAAGGCGGCGUUCUGGACUGCAACUGACACUGAGUAACGAAAUCCAGGGGAGCAAAC
rnacentral:rRNA from 1 species